AACAGGAUUAGAUACCCUGGUAGUCCACGCCGUAAACGAUGUCUACUAGCUGUUCGUGUCCUUGUGAUGUGAGUAGCGCAGCUAACGCACUAAGUAGACCGCCUGGGGAGUACGGUCGCAAGAUUAAAACUCAAAUGAAUUGACGGGGGCCCGCACAAGCGGUGGAGCAUGUGGUUUAAUUCGACGCAACGCGAAGAACCUUACCUACUCUUGACAUCUACGGAAGACUGCAGAGAUGCGGUUGUGCCUUCGGGAACCGUAAGACAGGUGCUGCAUGGCUGUCGUCAGCUCGUGUUGUGAAAUGUUGGGUUAAGUCCCGCAACGAGCGCAACCCCUAUCCUUAGUUGCCAGCGAUUCGGUCGGGAACUCUAGGGAGACUGCCGGUGAUAAACCGGAGGAAGGUGGGGACGACGUCAAGUCAUCAUGGCCCUUACGAGUAGGGCUACACACGUGCUACAAUGGUACGUACAGAGGGAGGCAAGCUGGCGACAGUGAGCGGAUCUCUUAAAGCGUAUCGUAGUCCGGAUCGCAGUCUGCAACUCGACUGCGUGAAGUCGGAAUCGCUAGUAAUCGCAAAUCAGAAUGUUGCGGUGAAUACGUUCCCGGGCCUUGUACACACCGCCCGUCACACCAUGGGAGUGGGUUGCAAAAGAAGUAGGUAGCUUAACCUUCGGGAGGGCGCUUACCACUUUGUGAUUCAUGACUGGGGUGAAGUCGUAACAAGGUAACC
rnacentral:rRNA from 1 species